GACCUCGCGCGACUGGAGCGGCCGAUAUCAGAUUAGGUAGUUGGUGAGGUAAAGGCUCACCAAGCCAACGAUCUGUAGCUGGUCUGAGAGGACGACCAGCCACACUGGAACUGAGACACGGUCCAGACUCCUACGGGAGGCAGCAGUGGGGAAUUUUGGACAAUGGACGAAAGUCUGAUCCAGCCAUUCCGCGUGCAGGAUGAAGGCCCUCGGGUUGUAAACUGCUUUUGUACAGAACGAAAAGGUCUCCAUUAAUACUGGGGGCUCAUGACGGUACUGUAAGAAUAAGCACCGGCUAACUACGUGCCAGCAGCCGCGGUAAUACGUAGGGUGCAAGCGUUAAUCGGAAUUACUGGGCGUAAAGCGUGCGCAGGCGGUUAUAUAAGACAGAUGUGAAAUCCCCGGGCUCAACCUGGGAACUGCAUUUGUGACUGUAUAGCUAGAGUACGGUAGAGGGGGAUGGAAUUCCGCGUGUAGCAGUGAAAUGCGUAGAUAUGCGGAGGAACACCGAUGGCGAAGGCAAUCCCCUGGACCUGUACUGACGCUCAUGCACGAAAGCGUGGGGAGCAAACAGGAUUAGAUACCCUGGUAGUCCACGCCCUAAACGAUGUCAACUGGUUGUUGGGUCUUAACUGACUCA
rnacentral:rRNA from 1 species